ensembl:snoRNA
AUCCUUCUGUAGUUCAUAAGCUUGGUGAUUGAGUUUUCAUGCGCAUGUGUGAGAUGUACCUCCCACAAAUCUUGUUAUAACAUAAGCACAUUAUCUGUCUUACA